AGAUGGCAGAAUAUAAUGCAUUGGCUUUAAGCGCUAAUUAUGGUUACUUUACCUUU
rnacentral:tRNA from 1 species